rnacentral:lncRNA from 1 species
UGCUUUCCUUCAACGCUUAUCACAUCCACAACCAUCUAUCAAUCUACACCUUACCACAUCUUUUCAUCUUCCGGCUAUUCAGCACCAAACACUUAAAAAUGUCGAAUUCUCGAUCCAACACCAGAAUCACAGUGGAGAAUCACUUUAUAAUCUGAGUUCCUCGAGUCAUACCAAGUUCACUUUUUCACCAUCUUCUUGCUCUCUCUC